AUGUGCUCUUCUGAUCUGGUGGGUUUUGGCCCCGAAGAACGCUCUUGGGAAGACGCUUCCACAGUCCAUGCCCCCGACUUAGUCCGCCGCUUCCAUCAGGCCUACCCUGCCAAGCCGCGGCCCCGCACCUCGGGAAGAGGGCCCAUUUUGGAAAGGGGGCUUGAGGAGGGGGAUAGUGUGAUGACUCAUGGGCCAUGUAGUCCCGUUCCUAGUACUAUUGUGGCAGAUGAAGAGGAAAACUUGGGUUUUCCACCGUUUCAGCCAGAAUUGGAGCCCUUGCACCUGCAAGAUGUUUGGCCACAAGAAGUCAGCCAAACAAGCCUUGAGCAGAAAUCUCCCCCAUUUUCUCGCCGGGAUUAUUAUAAUCAAGAUAGAAGCGCUCGGGAGGCGACUCGCAGGAGCGCCAGCAUAGCUGCCAGACAAUUAGCUGAUUAAGUCUGUUUCCCUUGGGAAACUUUAAGGAGUCAUGCAUCUGGACACAGUAUGGGUUUCGUUUCUUGUUCCCCAGGGAAAGUGUUCCUUGGCGGGAAAACAAGAUCCUAUAUAGGUGUUUGCCUGCAAAGAAAUCCUUGCGGAGUCAAUUCGUCAGCUGGAGGAGUGAGAUCGUGUGUAGACUUCGUACUCCAGUUUCUUGUUCCCCGGACCAAGUUUCCAGCCUUGCCUUGUCCCGCGUUUGCCCACGGAUCAAGUUUCCAGCCUUGCCUUGUCCCGCGUUUGCCACGGAUCUUGUUUACUCUUGUUGCCUUGUUUCAAGUCUUGUUCUAGCCAAGUAUCAAGUUUGCUUUCCAGCCUGAUUGUCAAGUUUCUAUGGACCUAAGGACCUUGUCAUUUCCCCACACUUUGCUUGGCAAAGUGUGUGUUUCGGUUAUUGGAUUAUAACUUUGGACUCUAAUAUCACAUAUUGGACAUUAUUUCUCUGGACUAUAUUUGACCUUUCCUGAAAGGUCUACUACUGAACUAUUUUCCACACUUGUUUUUAUUGACUUUAUAUAUUUCCUUAAUAAAGAUAUUAGUUAGAUUCUGGUCUCUGCGCAUGGUUAUUGGUGCUCUGCAGCCUGGGUCCUGACACAUCCUCACCAUCCUUGGGACCCUUUUGGGGGAGAAGCAGCGCCAGUUAUGGAGACCUAGAGGCAUUUACGAGACUUACAUAACUAAUCCUAAAGACAUAGGUCAGUGUUUUGAAACUUUUUUUUUUUUUUGCAUGGGGCCCCUUGCAUUUCUUAAUAUUGUGUCGCAUGUAUAAAUGUUACGUAAUAGAUCUGAAAAACAAAUUACAAACAAAGUUUUGCACACCCUAGUAAUUGUGUGUGUGUGUGUGUGUGUAUACAUAUGUGUAUGUGUAUGAGAUACAUACGUAAUACAGAAUCUUGACUGUAUAAACAGGGUUUGGACAUUUUUCCUGUACACUUUUUAAGUACUACACUUGAUUCUUGUGUUGUUUCCUCUAUGCUGAUCCAAAAGCACAUGCUUUGAUUGUGCUUUUCCUGCAUGGCAGGGGUUUGGACUAGAUGGCCCAUGUGGUCUCUUCUAAUUCUAUGAUUCUAUGAAAUUAUGCAAAUAAUAAAAGUUAAAAUUGUACUUGCACUUGAACACGCCAGCACUUCACUUCUGUAGUGAUUAAACAGCUCUUGAUGUUUUUAAACAGAGACUGGAUAACCAUCUGUGGUGCUUUGACUGUAUCUUCCUGCCUGGAUAAAGGGGCUUGGACUGGACUGGACUGCCUUUGGGGGUCUUUUCCAAUAAACUCUCAUUCUGGUGUGUGUGUGUGUGUGUGGCGGGGAAAAGAAAAUUCACUUUUACUCACAGCUCACUAAUUGCUCCCAUUGAAUACAGCACAGGUGAAAAUCUACUAUCACUGAUACAACCUAAAAUGGGAUUU
rnacentral:lncRNA from 1 species